rnacentral:rRNA from 1 species
UACGUAGGGUGCAAGCGUUGUCCGGAAUUAUUGGGCGUAAAGAGCUCGUAGGCGGUUUGUCACGUCGGCUGUGAAAACCUAGGGCUCAACCCUGGGCCUGCAGCCGAUACGGGCAAACUAGAAUUCGGUAGGGGAGACUGGAAUUCCUGGUGUAGCGGUGAAAUGCGCAGAUAUCAGGAGGAACACCGGUGGCGAAGGCGGGUCUCUGGGCCGAUAUUGACGCUGAGGAGCGAAAGCGUGGGGAGCGAACAGG